rnacentral:rRNA from 1 species
UGCAGUCGAGCGAACAGAUGGGAGCUUGCUCCCUGAUGUUAUCGCCGGACGGGUGAGAAACACGUGGGUAACCUGCCUGUAAGACUGUGGAUAACUCCGGGAAACCGGGGCUAAUACGGGAUGCUUGUUUGAACCGCAUGUGUUCACACAUAAAAGGUGGCUUCGGCUACCACUUACAGAUGGACCCGCGGCGCAUUAGCUAGUUGGUGAGGUAACGGCUCACCCAGGCGACGAUGCGUAGCCGACCUGAAAGGGUGAUCGGCCCCCCUGGGACUGAAACCCGGCCCAAACUCCUACGGGAGGCAACAGUAAGGAAUCUUCCCCAAUGGACGAAAGUCCGACCGAACAACCCCCCGGGAGUGAUGAAGGUUUUCCGAUCCUAAAGCUCUGGUGUUAAGGAAAAACAAAUGCCGUUCAAAUAUGGCGGCACCUUGACGGUACCUAACCAGAAAGCCACGGCUAACUACGUGCCAGCAGCCGCGGUAAUACGUAGGUGGCAAGCGUUGUCCGGAAUUAUUGGGCGUAAAGGGCUCGCAGGCGGUUUCUUAAGUCUGAUGUGAAAGCCCCCGGCUCAACCGGGGAGGGUCAUUGGAAACUGGGAAACUUGAGUGCAGAAGAGGAGAGUGGAAUUCCAUGUGUAGCGGUGAAAUGCGCA